AUAAUAUGAGAAGUUAUAUAAACUAUAAGUAAGGACUAUGGAGAUGAUGCACAAAAGACUUGUAACCAACCGACACACUGUUUCCAGAAGCAAGCACCU